CCCCUGUCCCCUAGGACCUGAGGACACCCGUGAGCCGUCAAUGACCUCAAAGCCAGAAAGCAAGGCCUGUGAACAGCUGCAAUGAGGCGCCUUCGCUCUCUGACCCGCUAUCAGGUAUGUCUUCAAACCUAUGGAUAAAAAUUACAACUGGUCAACAACAAC